UUGCCCUGAGAUCAAGCAAGGCUACCCGCUGAAUUUAAGCAUAUAACUAAGCGGAGGAAAAGAAACUAACAAGGAUUCCCUCAGUAACGGCGAGUGAAGCGGGAAGAGCUCAAGCCUAGAAUCUGCAUGCUUCGCAUGCCGAAUUGUAGUCUAUCGAGUUGUCGUUCUCCGGCGGCGCAGGUAUAAGUCUUUUGGAACAAGGCAUCAUAGAGGGUGAGAAUCCCGUUUGUGACUUGCGUUCGUCCGGUCUUGUAUCGACUUCUUGGCGAGUCAGGUUGUUUGAGAUUGCAGCCUUAAAUGGGUGGUAAAUUUCAUCUAAAGCUAAAUAUAGGCGAGAGACCGAUAGCGAACAAGUACCGUGAGGGAAAGAUGCAAAGAACUUUGAAAAGAGAGUUAAAAAGUGCUUGAAAUUGUUAGGAGGGAAGCGGAUCGAACCAGUGCUGCGCAUUGAGUCUCAGCAGCUUGGCGCUGCUAUACUACUUACUGUGCAUGCCAGCAUCAGUUGUUCGGCAGUACAAAGCCCAUUCCUGACCAGGUUUGUGGUGCUGCUGCUGAUAAGACUGAGGAGUUCGUUGGGCGCUUUAUGCGUUACUUUGGCUUUCAGUGCGCACCAUUUCUGGGACUACAAGUAGUGCCAGUUGUGGUCGUGUGCUCUGGUUGAAGUUUUCUGCCCGGCGGCGAUGUUGGCAAAAUGGUUCGCUCCGGCCCGUCUU
rnacentral:rRNA from 1 species